rnacentral:rRNA from 1 species
CACGUAGUUAGCCGGUGCUUAUUCUUCAGGUACCGUCAUUAGCAAGGGAUAUUAGCCCUCACCGUUUCUUCCCUGACAAAAGAGCUUUACAACCCGAAGGCCUUCUUCACUCACGCGGCAUUGCUGGAUCAGGCUUUCGCCCAUUGUCUAAAAUUCCCCACUGCUGCCUCCCGUAGGAGUCUGGACCGUGUCUCAGUUCCAGUGUGGCUGGUCGUCCUCUCAGACCAGCUACUGAUCGAUGUCUUGGUAGCUUUACCCUACCAACUAGCUAAUCAGAUAUCGGCCGCUCCACGAGCAUGAGGUCUGCGACUCCCCACUUUCAUCCGUAGAUCGUAUGCGUAUUAGCUUAACUUUCGCUACGUUACUCCCCCACUCCAGGGUACGUUCCGAUAUAUUACUCACCCGUUCGCCACUCGCCACCAGAGCAAGCUCCGUGCUCGCCGUUCGACUUUGCAUGUGGUAAGGCAGUCGCCGCCGAGUCCGUU